rnacentral:rRNA from 1 species
UACCCGCAGCUCAAGUGGUGGUCAUUAUUAUUGGGCCUAAAGCGUCCGUAGCUGGCCUGUUAGAUGCCUGGGUAAAUCGAUGCGCUCAACGUAUCGAAUUCCGGGUAGACCGGCAGGCUCGAGACCGGGAGAGGUGUAGGCUACUCGAGGGGUAGGGGUAAAAUCCUGUAAUCCUUCGGGGAGGACCAGUGGCGAAGGCGCUACACUAGAACGGCUCUGACAAUGAGGGACGAAGCCCUGGGGCGCAAACCGG